UAGGGAAUCUUCCGCAAUGGGCGAAAGCUUGACGGAGCAACGCCGCGUGAGUGAUGAAGGUCUUCGGAUCGUAAAACUCUGUUAUUAGGGAAGAACAAAUGUGUAAGUAACUAUGCACGUCUUGACGGUACCUAAUCAGAAAGCCACGGCUAACUACGUGCCAGCAGCCGCGGUAAUACGUAGGUGGCAAGCGUUAUCCGGAAUUAUUGGGCGUAAAGCGCGCGUAGGCGGUUUUUUAAGUCUGAUGUGAAAGCCCACGGCUCAACCGUGGAGGGUCAUUGGAAACUGGAAAACUUGAGUGCAGAAGAGGAAAUUGGAAUUCCAUGUGUAGCGGUGAAAUGCGCAGAGAUAUGGAGGAACACCAGUGGCGAAGGCGACUUUCUGGUCUGUAACUGACGCUGAUGUGCGAAAGCGUGGGGAUCAAACAGG
rnacentral:rRNA from 1 species